UGCAGAGGCAAGGUACAAGAGAACACCGAGAAUACACAAACGAAAUAUCACAAGCCCAAUAACGUUCAACCAAAUAUCAAGAUCGAUAACAAAGAACAUUGAAAACGAGAGCAACUCUGAAACGCACGGAAAGGUCACACGUUUCCUGCUUUCCCUCUCGCCGAGUGGCAGCUCGCCACGUGCAGGAAGGUCGGUGAGUAUCGGAAGUGACAGGAAGCAAGUGCACCCGCAUCUCGAGAUGAUUAUGAACAUGUUUACUUUAUUAUUAGCUCUAAAUUUGUCUAAUUAAAAUCAAGAAAGGCAAAGAUGACGUUCACGCGAACCACAGUGCACUGCUCCACGUCACAGCGAUACAUGACUUCCGUUGUGCAUGUGUGAUGUCGCACACUUCAGAAAGGCCCCGCCCCCUUAGCAACAAGUCAGCGUUCAUGCAGACUGUGAGUGCAGACAUGAGUGUGGCGCUUAUAUGUGUGCUGACGGCUGCUUGGAGCCUGGUGACAGGAAUCAGCGGCCAGACAGAGCACCAGCCAGAACGGGGGGUCCACGCUGUGGAUGGUGCAGCAGUGACGCUGGACUGCAGUUCCCCCAGUUCGGCGUACACUGACUACAUCUUCUGGUACAAAAAAGAAGUAAACUCAUUGCCUGACUUCAUCCUGAGCACAUAUCAGUUCGGUCAGGUUAAGAAAGCGGAAAAGUACCGUGAAAGGUUUCGCUGCAGCAUGAAUGCCAGCGCUCGGCAAGCUUCUCUUCAUAUCGAACGUGUGAAGCCCAGCGACUCCGGAGUCUUCUACUGCGCCCUGCGGCCCACGCUGACACAUUCACUGGCGUGCCUGCACAAAAACACCUGCACCCACCUCACCUCAGAAAGCUGCAACUCAGAAUGA